CCUGACUUCCGGUUGUCGCGGAGAUUAUCACCGCUGCGCGUAGAACUGGCUCUCACACCAAGACUGCUGUGGGAAACUCCCUUGUUGUGCUGCCUCUCGCGCCGAGCCGACUUUCGUGUGUGGCUUCCGUGUGUGGCAAACCCCCGUCAUCCGGUGGUCUGAGAGCUUGGAGUGGUGGUGCCUCUGCGGUGCGGGUCUCCGGUCUAGUCUAAUCCUCCCCUCAUCUGCAUGCUGAUCACGUUUGCCUGUGCUGUGGGACUGAAGUGCGGUGUGAAGUGUGUUUGUCUUGCACGUGUGCCUGGGGUGGCCUUUGUUUGGAUCCCCUCACCUCAUUUAGCCCACCUAUCUCCUGGUAAGCCUCAGCCAUCUUUUAUUUUUGAAUC